CGGGGGGAGCAAGCGUUGUUCGGAUUUACUGGGCGUAAAGGGCGCGUAGGCGGCCACCGCAAGUCGACUGUGAAAUCUCCGGGCUUAACCCGGAAAGGUCAGCCGAUACUGCGGGGCUAGAGUGCAGAAGGGGCAACUGGAAUUCUCGGUGUAGCGGUGAAAUGCGUAGAUAUCGAGAGGAACACCUGCGGCGAAGGCGGGUUGCUGGGCUGACACUGACGCUGAUGCGCGAAAGCUAGGGGAGCGAACGGGAUUAGACUACCCCGGUAGUCCUAGCCUUAAACGAUGAAUGCUUGGUGUCGUGGGGUUUUAUAGUCCCCGGGUGCCGUCGCUAACGCUUUAAGCAUUCCGCCUGGGGAGUACGGUCGCAAGACUG
rnacentral:rRNA from 1 species